UUAGUCGAUAUCAAAUUAGGAAAGUACAAACACAGUGCGUAGGGCUGUUUGCAUUCCCUUGAAUUGAAAAUGACUUUUGUUUAAUUCAAGCAAAAUUAAACCAUUGGUUUCGUUUUCUUAAUUCUGCUUGCUGGACUUGCUCUUAUGUUUUCGUCUAGUCUCCUCUUACAAAUCCUGGUACUAGACGAAAUAGGCUGGCUACUCCAGGCAUCAUUACUCAAGUCUCGCAAGCUUUAGAUGUCAAAGUCUGUUGAACAGUUUUCAUUUUAUUUCGAUCCGCCUGUGGAUCUGUUUCGACUGUUUGUGAUACUUAAACAUUACAAUUUUAUUCAGUUGAAAUA
rnacentral:lncRNA from 1 species